rnacentral:lncRNA from 1 species
ACUUUUUCAUCAAUACUGGCGAUGAGGCUGCAGUUAUUUUCUCUGUACUUAAUAGCCAGAACCCAGGGGUGGUAAAGAUUUCCGGUGCAUCGUUUGAGCCUGAUGAUGAGGAAAUGGUAGAUAAACUAGUAAGGAAAAUAAAAUCUGCUGCUGCCUUGGAGGGCAAAGCAUCUAGCAUUCAGAAUGUGACUCCGACUGACUUUUAACAUAUUCACAGUCAGUAAUCAGAACAUUGUAAGUCAUUACAUGACAUGUGAGCUAAGUAUAAACCUAUUUCUGUGUGUUUUCUAUAGUUAAAAGCACACUAUUUGCUCAAGAAUAUUAGCUAUGCAGCCGGAAAUAAUUUGAUUGGAAAUCAAAGAACAAAGGGAGACAAAAUUUAACGAGUCUAAAACAAGAACCCUAACAUUUUUUAUUCAAUAAUUAUUAUCCAAUUGUCAUAAAAAAGACAACCACCCUUUACAAAAAAAGAAAAUCAACAUACAUGAGAAAUAAAACAAAAUCUGGAAAUCCAAAAUUAAAGAGGAAAAUAACAAAAUUGCCUACAUCACUUUGCUGAAUUUGUUAUACAGUGAUCUAUAACCAAAAUCUUGUUUGGAAUUCAUUCUGAGAAAUACUAUAUAAGUAAAAAAAAAAAUGUAUACCUUUUUCUUUGAUGUUAAAAAUAUCAAAAUAACUAGAUUUUAUACACAAAGAAAACACUAUAAAAAAGAGAUCAUAAACAACAUUCUCAGUGAUCACUUGCAACCUUUUGGUCUGUUGUUACCCGUGUCUAGAAGUUUUUGAAGUUGCUGAAGAUGAUGAUAUAUUCAAGAUCAUACAAAGCACAGUGAUCAACUCUGGACCGACCUAUAAGGUCACCAGCUCUAGAAGCCACCCAUAAUCAAGAGAUACAGCUUGAGGCAGCAAUGGAGGAUGACAGAGGUCGAUCUACUGCAGAUACUUUCAAUAAUAUUAAGAAGAUGGAGCUUGGGGCAUCGACAAUUGUAACCUCUGGAAUUGAACUAUCACAAGUUCAAGAGCUGCAGCAGAUGACUGAGAAAUAGAUUCUUUUGAUUGCUUUGUAUUUUAGUUUUCAAUGAUAAUUGAAAAUCAUUUCUCAUACCUUUCCUCUGCAAGAUAUAUUCAAAACACAAUUGAGAAUUACCACUCAAAAAACAAUCUCUGCAAAAUCAUUCCAGCCCACCAAUGCAAUAGACCAAAGCUUGACUUCAAGCAAGUUAAUGAAGCCCAGCUUCAAGAGGCUCAAAAGGAAACAUAAAUGAAAAAUAAGGCUCCAUUCUUACUGUGGGAGAGCAUGGUUAUUCUUGUGGAAGAGGCUGAUAUUCUAACACCCUUCAAUUAUAAAACAUACUACUAGAUGCCGGGACCGUCAACUCUAUUUUUCUCAUUAAAUAUUCUAACACCCUUUAAUUUUUAAUUCAAAACAACACCAUUUUGAAAAAAAAAAAAAAACAAUUGACCCUAUCAACUCUUUAACCUGUGAAUUGACCUGUUUAACAUGAGGCAGGCUGAGUUUGAUAACCAUGGAGGCUAAAAAUAAGAAGCAACUUAAGGUUCUCCUAUACGCUCAGGCUCCAUUUCGCCAAUAUCCUACAAUAUACUGCGUGUAUUUUAUGGCUUCUUAAUUAAAUUUUCGUUCUAUGAUCCAAGCUGUCAGAACUCAUGAACGUAUUUCUUUGUGUGCUGGUAUAGAACAUACAUACUUUCUCAGUUUCAUCUCUUUUCGAAAGUUAAUACGAAUUUUUAUGAUGUAGUACUAAUUAUUAUCCCUUGAUUGUUUUGGGAGAUGACAGGAGCCUCACUCCUAAAUCUUUGCUGGUGUAUACAGAAGCCAGGUAUGGUAUUGGACAAGUGUAUUUGAUUAUGCUUUAAAAUAUCCAGGACGUUGAUGGGAUAGUUCAAUUCUGGAUGAGAGAGCAAGAAAAUAUC